UCGUCUAACAUUAACUUGUACAGUUGAUUAUAAUCCUGUAUCAACUAUUACAUGGUAUGGUCCAGAUGGUCGUGAAGUAUCUAAUAAUAAAGAUUUGGUUAUAAAUAAAAUUAACAGAAAUCAGUCUGGUAUUUAUAACUGUACAGCUAUUCAGGUAAUACAACCUGCUAAUGGUAAUCCACAGAUUAAAACAGACAGUACAACGGUUCUGGUGAAAAUUGCUGAAGAAAUGGCGAAAGUGUUAUAAGAUUAUAAGAGAAACGUCAACACUCUAGAUUUAAACAUCAGGGGUGAAUCAUUAUCCAGUACAUAUAACAGCCUGGGGUUUAAUAUCGUAUCUGAUAUGUUACCCAACCCAUAUCUUAAUUUAGACGAAAUACCAACAAAUUAGCCUAGAUGUUUUUGUUGAUUUAUAUAGUAAUUUUUUUUUGUACAUUUAAUUUAUUUGUUACGCUUUGUUCAAUUUUGUUGAAAAUCAGUUUACUGUAAGUAAAAUGGAUUAUGGUUAUAUAUAAUAUGCAUUAUUAUAGUACCAUAAUCGUGCAUUAUAUUUAUAAGAUGACGAUAAUGCUAAAAAUAUAUAGUACCCCAUAAUUUUUUUGGUGCAUUGUAUUUAUAAUAUAUCACGA